CACGUAGGGCGCAAGCGUUGUCCGGAAUUAUUGGGCGUAAAGAGCUCGUAGGCGGUCUGUUGCGUCCGCUGUGAAAACUCGGGGCUUAACCCGAGCCUGCAGUGGAUACGGGCAGGCUAGAGUUCGGUAGGGGAGACUGGAAUUCCUGGUGUAGCGGUGAAAUGCGCAGAUAUCAGGAGGAACACCGGUGGCGAAGGCGACCAUCUGGACGGAUACUGACGCUGAGACGCGAAAGCGUGGGUAGCAAACAGG
rnacentral:rRNA from 1 species